rnacentral:misc_RNA from 1 species
AGUGUUCUACAAGGUGCGGAUCCAUUCUUUAGUGAGAGAUCUAAAUUUAAAGAUUUUCUAAUUGACCUCAUAAGAAGACCAUGAAAUCAAAAAGUGAAAUGCAUAGCCUACCUGUUGACUAACUUAUAUGCUCUAUUAUCACUAUGGAAUUUUCUAACUAAUGAAAUAUAUUUUAUUUUUCAAUAAAACAAAUCAAGUGAAAUUUUAGAGGAUUGAAAAAUAAUGCUCCUCGUAGAAAUAAAAUUUCAACCAUUUCUGUUAUUAAGAGAAUGAAUCCUAUGCAUUAUGAGAGGAGUACGAGCUCAAGGAGUAUGCACACAGGCAUUUGUACUCCAACUUAUGUUUUGCUAAUAAAACUAGGAAGAUCAAUAAUAAUAGCGUUUUUAUUCAAUGUUAUAAUAUACAUGUCAACGUUAAUCAUAUGGCAAUUUUUUUUUUUCACUUAAAUUUCUCUAUAAAGUUUGGUUCAACCUGAUAAAACCCGACUCUUCCAUCCUCGAUAAACAAAGUUUGCUUAAACCAAAAAUCAUAGUCGCAAGAUUUCUUCUAAUUCCACCUCUAGGAGAUGGUCAUGAACUUCAUAGGAUUAUUUGCUAUCUAUUAUAUUGGCAAAAAGAAGCCGUUAAAGAUCUUCAAAUUAGAUAUUUCAGAAGGAUUUUGACAUUAUAAGUCCACAACCAUUCAUCUAAAGGUGCAUAGACAAUGGUCUUAAGCAACAAGAUUGAGUGCUUAUUAUGAACCUGUUAGUCCACAUGCUGUUUUUUGACAUCAGAUAUUCUGAUAUGGGGGCAAGUAAAACCACAUAACCGGAGACACACAACAUGCCAUAUUUACAAGCUCUUUGCUUACUGGUCGUCCGACAGUAAGCACAUCCACUGCAUUCCAUCACAUUUUUUGUCGUCAUCAUCUAGUAGCCUCCUUGUAUGUAAGCAUUCAAGCGGUCCAGCUCCUCCCGGUGCUCAGUCACUACAGCUCGGACAACAUCCCCAAUGGACACCAUGCCAAUCAUUUCCUUAUCAUCAAUGACAGGAAUGUGCCUGAUGCGUUUAUCUGCCACCAUUACAGGUUCCAGCUUACACUACUUCCCUCUUAAUUUUCACAGAGGAAGAAAUCACUGAACUAGCAUAUAAAACAUCCUAUAGAAGUUUGCAGCAUGUAAUACCUGUCAUCAAUUGCAUUGCUUGCAGAACUUUAGUGUCUGGAGUGACUGUAAUAAGCUUGUUCUGCAGCCACCAUGCAGAUAUUUAUAUAGAGCAACAUGAAAAAGCAAACACCCCUAAGAUAAUCCAAUAGUAUUAUACCUCUUCAGUCAUAAUAUCCCCAACCUUAGUUGACUUGGAUGAUCUUCCCUGGACUAUGAUCUUCCUCAGGUAAUCUGGAAUUUAUCAACUAUAUUAUAGUUUGCAGUACAUUGUUUGGUAAUAGAUUCAGCCAAUACCAUCAUCAUCCCAGAAAGAAAUAAUAAAUUCAACAAAUGGCACAAGCUCCAAUGAUAGUCUUCUAUUAGACUGAUAGCAAUAGAAAUAUUUUCUGGGGAAUCCAAGCUCCGAUUGCAGGAACUUAAAUGAACAAGUUUCAUUGUCUUCUGAGAGAGGUAUUAAAAAAAUGAAAGCAAUACUUUUUACUCAAUUAUUUUUACAACAUCAUUCUGCUUUAGGUGAAUAACUUAAAAGCCUGAUGCUGGUAGCCAGAGCAGAUAUGCAAAGUGUGCCAUUAGAGAAGAGAUUACAACUAGCCCAAAUUGCAGCUCAGAGACUUCAACUUGCAACCACUUCUAGAAUGCAAGUCAAGUGCAAUGAUAGCAUCAAACCUAGUGUUAUCAAAUUGCAAUUUAAAAUGGCCAACACUGCUACUAAAUGCAUGGAAUAACAAAUUAAACACAAUUCCCAUGAAUAAAAUAUUGAGAACCUUUAGAUACUAUAAUUUCUAAACCUCUAAAAGUUUUGUAUGCGAAAAACAUGAGUCAUAUAAGCUUCUUAAUUUAAGACACUGUCAAAUACCUCUUUCCGUAAUAAUUCCUGCAAUUGAUUUCUGCUCUCCAGGUUUAACGACCACCAAGGCUCCAACAUUGUGCUGUGUCAUCGACUUGACAGCAUCAUAAACAGUGUCAUCAGUGGUGCACCAAAGCCAAGAGCCAUCAGCACCUUUCCCUUUGGCUUUCAAGAUGUCAGAAAUGGUAGUACUUUCAAAGCUUUGCUCUUCCAUUCCAGCAGAUAAUACAGACUCAAAACGAGAAAACAAAAUAGGCCUCAGUACUGGAUUUGCAACACGGAAGCGUUGCAGAACAGCAUUUUUUACCAAAUUUCCAUGGGACAAAAAUGCAUUAACCGCCCCUUGCAUUUUUCCUGUAAAACAAGAAAUUGAUCAUAUUCAAUGAGAAUGAAUACAGCAUCUCCAGGGUAAGCAAACGAACAAAUGCCAACGAAUGUGAAUCGAAGUCUAUACCCAUAAAUAUAAAUAUAUAUUAAAGGAAUGAAAUAACAAGGAAUAAGGAUUGCUGACUUUAGAUGCAAGACUCAAAUAAUUGUCAGCAGUCAACAGUGUAGAAUCAUUGACAAUUAUAUAAUCAAAUCCUAAAAAUCAAAGUACUCCACAGUCAAGAGCUUAAAUCGGGCCCAGAGAUCACACACGCACAAAGGGCAGCAGCAGCAGCAGCAAAGAUCUACCAACCUUGUAUGUAAAAGCAAAAGCAAAAGCAAACGCAAAAAGCAACAUAAGGCUAUUUAUCCAUCUACCUAUUUAUCUAUCAGUAGAAAAUAAUCAAGAAAGAAAAACCCACUAAUUUCUGAUCAUCAUCAGCAUCAUAAAUGAUAAUGAAAACGAAGUAGAAGUGAUCAAUCAACGUACACCUGAUUUGGAGAGAGCACCCA